GGCUGUUGGAUAUUGUAGUUUAGUUAGUGUUUGGCUGUUAGUGUCAUUAGGAAAGUUGUUCGGGUUUAGUGCUCCAUAUCGUGUUAGUAUGGUGAGAAGGUGUAGUGUAGUAUGGUUGCGGUGGCUCUGUGGGGUUGCACUCCUUUCCGCUGGACUUAGAAAUUAGGCGCCAGUGGUUGCGCGCAAUCGGUGUCUGGAAAACAUUCAGCUCCCGCCUGGUGCUGUAGUUUGCAACCAGCAUUUUACCCGCGAUUCUGCACGUCUCCGUUUGAAGAGGGAGGCUGUGCCCACCGUGGCUCUUCCGCGAUUUAGAUGCAGCCCACUGACUCUGCUCCACAAACAUGGCGGACUCCAGUCUGAGGUGAGUAAGCUAAAUAAAAGUUUUAACAUCUUCUAAAGACAAUUCCCUUCCUAAAUGCAAAGUUUGAGAGACGUGUUUCACUCCAUUUAGCUAAUAUCAGCCUGCACUGCCUUCGGGCUGAUUUGUCAAGUUCACAAAAUGUGGAAUGGGAGAAUCAGCGACGAAUCGGAACAUAUCUCGACGCCCUGGCCGACAAAACGGUCCACAUGGCUUGGAGAAAAUUCGGGUUGUUUUUGUGUCAGUCGGUAAUUCUGCAACAGUGGCUCUAACUAACGCAGCACUAGUUGACAGACAGCAUUACAGCGUGAAAUCCAGCUUGUGACCCGGUUCCGUGAGGAAUUCUGUUCAGGAGGUCGCAUUUCAGGCUCUCCACAUCAUAUGUGACUGACUUUUACGUUAGAAUAACGAUCACACACUAGGAAUGUUAUAAAGUGCCUAUAUGUUUCUUUUGUAUAUUAUCUGACUUUAUAAACUCCAACAACAAAGUGCUUCUAUUUUUUUCUGGUUAAAUCUACCAAAGACACUGGCUGUCAGAAUGCACUUGUCCAGGCUGAUGUGAAGCCUUACCCGUAGCAAAGGUGAAUUAUUUUUAGUAAUCUUCUAUGUAUACAUUGUAUUAUUACCUUCUAGUUUUAAUUUGUUUUACAGAUUAUUGUUACACGUGAUGUUAUGCUCUUUUAAACAUUUAUAAAUGUGCUGCUUCUUUGUUUUUACAUAGCCAGCCAGAAUAGAGCUCCCAGCCGCAGUGUGUCUUGUGACACAGGGACCAUGACGGAAAUUCAUCUUCCAGAAAGUCCCAGAGCAGCGUCCACACCCCUGAAAAAACCAAGAUGUGAGGUGUCUGCUGUUGAUUCCAGCUUCCACCUCAGUGACAGUGCAAGCUCAGUGAACUGUUCAAGGACACUCAGCAAAAUAUGGACUCUACACCAUGAGGCAGGCACACGUUAAUAUUCUAUAAGAGCACAUAAGCAUGAGGAUGUCCUCACACACCUGUAACCUAUCAGCUCAUCUGGCAGAAUAGAGAAGAGACAACACCACAUCUCCUGUUCCUGGAAAGCCUUCAGCCAUCCUUCGAUGACUGAGAACCUCCAUCAGCUCUGUCUCCUGUCUGCCUACAAUUAUUAUAAUAAAUAUUGUGUUUGACAAGUUUUUU